UGGGGAAUAUUGCACAAUGGGCGCAAGCCUGAUGCAGCAACGCCGCGUGAGUGAAGAAGGCCUUCGGGUCGUAAAGCCCUGUCCUGUGGGACGAAACAAAUGACGGUACCACAGGAGGAAGCCCCGGCUAACUACGUGCCAGCAGCCGCGGUAAUACGUAGGGGGCAAGCGUGAUCCGGAAUCACUGGGCGUAAAGGGUGCGUAGGUGGUUCCUCAAGUCAGAAGUGAAAGGCAGGGGAUUAACCACUGUAAGCUUUUGAAACUGAGGAACUUGAGUGCAGGAGAGGAAAGUGGAAUUCCUAGUGUAGAGGUGAAAUGCGUAGGUAUUAGGAAGAACACCAGUGGCGAAGGCGACUUACUGGACUGUAACUGACACUGAGGCACGAAAGCGUGGGGAGCGAACA
rnacentral:rRNA from 1 species